rnacentral:rRNA from 1 species
GAUGAACGCUGGCGGCGUGCUUAACACAUGCAAGUCGAACGGAAAGGCUCCUGCUUGCAGGGGUACUCGAGUGGCGAACGGGUGAGUAACACGUGGGUGAUCUGCCCUGCACUUCGGGAUAAGCCUGGGAAACUGGGUCUAAUACCGGAUAGGACGAUGGUUUGGAUGCCAUUGUGGAAAGUUUUUUCGGUGUGGGAUGAGCUCGCGGCCUAUCAGCUUGUUGGUGGGGUAAUGGCCUACCAAGGCGUCGACGGGUAGCCGGCCUGAGAGGGUGUACGGCCACAUUGGGACUGAGAUACGGCCCAGACGCCUACGGGAGGCAGCAGUGGGGAAUAUUGCACAAUGGGCGCAAGCCUGAUGCAGCGACGCCGCGUGGGGGAUGACGGCCUUCGGGUUGUAAACUCCCUUCGCUAGGGACGAAGCGCAAGUGACGGUACCUGGAGAAGAAGCACCGGCUAACUACGUG